CCGCUGUCCAGGUUCAAGCAAUUCUCCUGCCUCAGCCUCCCCAGUAGCUGGGAUUACAGGUGCACACCACCAUGCCCGGCUAAUUUUUGUAUUUUUAGUAGAGACGGGGUUUCACCAUGUUGCCCAGCCUGGUCUUGAACUCCUGACCUCAAGUGAUCCACUCACCUCAGCCUCCCAAAGUGCUGGGAUUACAGGGGUGAGCCACAGCGCCUGGCCUGCAGUGCCCUCCUAAGUGGUUUUGCUGCUCCCACAUCCUGCUCUCACCCUGUUCAGGAUACUAUCGGUGCCGCUUCCCAAAAGAUCCUGUUCAAACAUAAAUCAGAGCCUGUCACUUCUCCAUUAAAACCCUCCAGUGGCUUCCUGUAUCAUGCUGGGUGCAAACCAAAGUCCAUACUACCACCCACAAAUUGUAGCAAGAUACUGCUCCUUUUAGCCACACUGACUUUAACUCCUGUGACGCUCCCGUCCUCACUCCAUUCCAGCCAUGCUGUUCAUCAAACUGGCCUUUCCCCUGUUCAUCAAACUGCCCAGAUUCUCCAAGCAAAUAUUAAACAUGUCCUGCAAAUCUCAGGAAUCAGCACACAGAGAAACACAAAGAAGAGUAAGUGGCCUUCUUCCAAGACCUGGUUUAUCAAAGGUCUGAGGCAGUCCUGAUCCGCUGCUCUCCUCCUGCUGGCUGAGCCUUGCCACUGGCUCAGUGGCCCAGGGUGCCAGCUCCCUUUCCUGGGCCUCCCGGGAAAGGGGAGGGAGAAGGUCGAGGGAGCAAGAGGGUUCCAGGGCUGCCUCCAGGGCUGGCCUGGCAAGUUGCAGCUCUGUCCCUGGCGAUUUCCCUGCAGCCAAUGGCUGUGGAAGAGGAAAGGAGAGGACCUUUUGAUGUGGUGGAGAAGCAUCAUUGUAGAAGGGAGAGGAAUAAGUAAAAGGUUGGCCAGGGAACCAUGGCCGGGCACGGUGGCUCCUGCCUGUAUUCCCAGCACUUUGGGAGGCCAAGGUGGGCAGAUCACUUGAGGCCAGGAGUUCAAGACCAGCCUGGCCAACAUGGUGAAACCCCUUCUCUACUAAAAAUACAAAAAUUAGCCGGGCGUGGUGGUGAGCACCUGUAGUCUCAGCUACUUGGGAGGCUGAGGCAGGAGAAGCACUUGAACCCGGGAAGCGGAGGUUGCAGUGAGCCGAGAUCGCGCCACUGUACUCCAGCCUGGGCGACAGAGUGAGUGAGACUCCGUCUCAAAAAAAAAAAAAAAAAAGUAAAAUGUUGGCCAGGGAGCCUUGCUGGCCUCCUGAAGGCAGCCAAACAUUAAACACACCUACAGUCACAGAGUCCAGCUUAAGGAAGAGGCAGACCAGAAAGUGAAAGUGAAGAAAGAACGGGAGGAGAGAUGGGUGGGGGCGCGGAUCAAGGCAGAAAAGGGAGGCAAAAGGCAAGGCUCCUAGGGACAGAGAGUGGUGACAUGCCAGCUUCUGUUCGUUAAAACCCUGCUCUGGACCAUGAACACUGCUAGGCAAUUUCGUUAUGACAGCUCCUUGCAUCCUCCCAGCAUUUUACAGCUAAGGAAACUGAAGACCGUGAGGUUAAAUUCUUCACCCGAGGUCCACAGCUAGGGAUUAGCAGAAUCAGUGUUUGAACCCAAGGCUGCCUGACUCCAGUGUCACACCCAAACUGUUCCUGUCUCUCUGUUAGCAGUUCUUAGUUGCUGGGGAUUCAGACUCUAUUUUGUUGCUUGUGUAGUUCAAUACAGCUCCCCCCACUGUGGCCACAUUGCAGCCUACAGAUGCAAUAAAAAGGAGGGGAAGGCAUGCAUUUCCUUUAAGGGUACACCUGAGGUCAGGAGUUCGAGAUCAGCCUGACCAACAUGGAGAAACACAACUCUACUAAAAAUACAAAAUUAGCUGGGCAUUGUGGUGCAUGCCUGUAAUCCCAGCUACCCGGGAGGCCAAGGCAGGAGAAACGCUUGAACCCAGGAGGCAGAGGUUGCGGUGAGCCAAGGUUGUGGUGAGCCGAGAUCACACCAUUGUACUCCAGCCUGGGCAACAAGAGCGAAACUCCAUCCAUCUCAAAAAAAAAAAAAAAAUGCUGUGAAUCUUGAACAGAGAAUGCAAUAGACAGCAAGAAAGGUCUGGUGGCAUCUUCGAAGGAGCCUUCAUCUCCUAUACUUUCAGGGUGGAUAUGAUGGAAGACUCAGCCCAGGGCCUCAUUGUGCAUGUAGGAGUUCCAAGUAAAUGCUUAGGAAAGGGCAUAGUGGGGACGUAGUGGGACCCUGAGACUUAGAAUAGGAGCAUCUAAGUGGUCACAGACAAGGCUGAGACUCUGGCACUUUUGAAUUCUCAAAUCCUUCAAAGCUCCCUUGUCUGUUCAGGCAGGUCCUCCCGUGUAGAGGUAACCAACUUAUCCCUGCCUAAGGAACCUUCUGUGACUGCACCUAGGACAGUUGCUUCACUAAAAAGGGACACCAGAUCUUCUCUUCAUUCCUCCAGCAUCAAAAGGAGAGUUAGAUCCCAACAUAGCCCACUUGGGCAGUACAAGGCCUGCUCUAGAAAGAGAAUGUCUAUACACUAAAGAAGUGGCAGGACCUUGCCAGUUCAAAUCCACAAGGGUCUUGGGAGCACGUGUCGGAGAGGAUUCUAAGCAUUGUGUUAGCCUAAAGAUGGUAAACACAAGGCUUGGCUGGGCACAGAGCCUCGUGCCUGUAAUUCCAGCACUUUGGGAGGCUGAGGCGGGCGGAUCACUCUUCAAACUCCUCAAACUCAGGAGUUUGAGACCAGCCUGGCCAACAUGGUGAAACCUGUUUCUACUAAAAAUACAAAAAAUUAGCUGGGCGUGGUGGUGGGUGCAUGCCUGUAGUCUCAGCUACUCGGGAAGCUGAGGCAGGAGAAUCGCUUGAACCCAGGAGGCAGAGGUUGCAGUGAGCCGAGAUCGUGCCAUUGCACUCCAGCCUGGGUGAAAAAGUGAGAAUCU
rnacentral:lncRNA from 1 species